CUAUCUGCACCCACUUUCUCUCUUUUCAACUCCCUUUCUUCUUCUUUAAUCUCCAUAUUCAGAUCAUUUAAUCUCCAUUUCCGGCGACCAAAUACUCGGAUCCCGCUGCCCACGACACUAAUUGGUUCGACCCGACCAGAUCUGGUCGUCAUCGACCUUCACUGCCUAGAUCCGGCCGUUCAUGAACACAAACAAACUAUUUCCGACGAAAACUGGGGUCUCCACCGGUUUCAGGUUUUAUCCGAGUUUCCGGUCGAAACCGGCGUUUUUGUCCGAUAACCCCGGUUUUCAAUUUCUCUGGGUUUCGAUGUUGAACCAGACCGGAUAUGUGGCGGGUCGCGGUCGGACCGGCCAGUCCGGUCUGGUUCUGACAACCAUGCAUUUUAUAGGAUUAGGGAAGGGAUUUGGGAUCUUAUUACUCUUCCAUAAUUGAACGGCGGAUAAAAUUUUGUAGUGCAAAGCGUGCGAGUUACGACGGUGGCGAAGGAAUUGACGAGUAUGGGUGUAGCCCCAACCAUUUAAGGUAUUCAUUUACCCUUUUGGCGAGCGAGAGUGGGCAUUUAGUUUUAUAGUGAAUCGAUUGAAAUUUUUGAACUCGCAGAACUUACAACUUGUGGGUUUUAUUCAUCGACGGUGAGAUU
rnacentral:lncRNA from 1 species